GACGAACGCUGGCGGCGUGCUUAACACAUGCAAGUCGAACGGAAAGGCCCUGCUUUUGUGGGGUGCUCGAGUGGCGAACGGGUGAGUAACACGUGAGUAACCUGCCCUUGACUUUGGGAUAACUUCAGGAAACUGGGGCUAAUACCGGAUAGGAGCUCCUGCUGCAUGGUGGGGGUUGGAAAGUUUCGGCGGUUGGGGAUGGACUCGCGGCUUAUCAGCUUGUUGGUGGGGUAGUGGCUUACCAAGGCUUUGACGGGUAGCCGGCCUGAGAGGGUGGCCGGCCACAUUGGGACUGAGAUACGGCGCAGACUCCUACGGGAGGCAGCAGUGGGGAAUAUUGCACAAUGGGCGGAAGCCUGAGGCAGCGACGCCGCGUGCGGGAUGACGGCCUUCGGGUUGUAAACCGCUGUCGCCUGUGACGAAGCGUGAGUGACGGUAAUGGAUAAAGAAGCACCGGCUAACUACGUG
rnacentral:rRNA from 1 species